ACAGAAGGUAUGAAUCGACAAGUUUCAGAAUUGCUACUCUAUGUUGCCGAUCUGUAAUUAUUGAUGCAUAAUGUUGUUCAUUGACAAUUAAUGUUGGUGCUGUUCGAAUAAAAUGCAACUUUCUAUUUAUGUUUAUAAUUGCAGGUUAUGGCUCAUAAAAGUAUUAUUACUGGCUAUUGCAACCAACCUCAAAGUGAUAAAUCCACACACGAUGAUAAAUAAUCCAUAACUGGGUGCCAAGUUUGCAAUACAGGUUUAAAUGAAGAAUGUAAAGAGCGACAUGAUGUCUCGGCAGAAACAGAAAAUCAUGUCACUUCAUUAAAUACUGAAGAAUCAGAACUGUCUAGAAUUUUUUAUAAUAAAUCACUCACCUUAGAACGCAAGAUGUACACAAUGUUGGCAAAUGUCAAUGGUUGUUCCAUGCUUCCUGAUGGUAGAAUGGUGUUCACGUGUUCGCAUUGGGGUAAAAUUAAAGUCUUUAGAAUAGAUGGAUCUGAAGAGUUUGAAAUGAAGAAUAUUGGUCCUUGAAGCUUGCUAUCUCCCUUUUCACAUCAAGCGUUAAUAGUUUUCUCGCUGAACCAUUCCAUACUUGACACCUUGGUAAGCAACGCUAAAAUCCGUGGGAACAUGGGGAACAAGGAUUCAAUACAUUAUUUCAUCACAACGAGUAGCUAAUCAAUAAAAAAUUCGAAAAAUUUACCAAUCAAAG
rnacentral:lncRNA from 1 species